rnacentral:rRNA from 1 species
AUUGAACGCUGUCGGCAGGCUUAACACAUGCAAGUCGCGCGAGCAGCGAGCGGGUGAGUAAUGUCUGGGAAACUGCCUGAUGGAGGGGGAUAACUACUGGAAACGGUAGCUAAUACCGCAUACCAUCAUAUGUGCCCAGAUGGGAUUAGCUAGGAGGUGGGGUAAUGGCUCACCUCGGCGACGAUCCCUAGCUGGUCUGAGAGGAUGACCAGCCAAACUGUGACUUAGACAGGGUCUAGACGCUGACGGGAGGCAGCAGUGGGGAAUAUUGCCCAAUGGGCGCAAGCAUGAUGCAGCCAUGCCGCGUGUGUGAAGAAGGCCUUCGGGUUGUAAAGCACUUUCAGCGAGGAGGCGUUACUCGCAGAAGAAGCACCGGCUAACUCCGUGCCAGCAGCCGCGGUAAUUC